rnacentral:tRNA from 1 species
GCCUUUGUGGUGUAACGGUAGCACGCUGGGCCUGUAUUCCAGAGGUCCGUGGUUCGAUUCCCGGCGAAGGCG